UACGAAGGGGGCUAGCGUUGCUCGGCAUCACUGGGCGUACAGCGCACGUAGGCGGAUUGUUAAGUCAGGGGUGAAAUCCUGGAGCUCAACUCCAGAACUGCCUUUGAUACUGGCGAUCUCGAGUCCGGGAGAGGUGAGUGGAACUGCGAGUGUAGAGGUGAAAUUCGUAGAUAUUCGCAAGAACACCAGUGGCGAAGGCGGCUCACUGGCCCGGUACUGACGCUGAGGUGCGAAAGCGUGGGGAGCAAACAGG
rnacentral:rRNA from 1 species